rnacentral:rRNA from 1 species
AGUGAACGCUGGCGGUAGGCCUAACACAUGCAAGUCGAACGGCCGCACAGUAAGAGCUUGCCCUUACGGUUGGCGAGUGGCGGACGGGUGAGGAAUACAUCGGCAUCUACUUUUUCGUGGGGGAUAACGUAGGGAAACUUACGCUCAUACCGCAUACGACAUACGGGUGAAAGCAGGGGAUCUUCGGACCUUGCGCGAUUGAAUGAGCCGAUGUCGGAUUAGCUAGUUGGCGGGGUAAAGGCCCACCAAGGCGACGAUCCGUAGCUGGUCUGAGAGGGUGAUCGGCCACACUGGAACUGAGACACGGUCCAGACUCCUACGGGAGGCAGCAGUAGGGAAUAUUGGACAAUGGGCGCAAGCCUGAUCCAGCCAUACCGCGUGGGUGAAGAAGGCCUUCGGGUUGUAAAGCCCUUUUGUUGGGAAAGAAAAGCAGCAGGUUAAUACCCCGCUGUUCUGACGGUACCCAAAGAAUAAGCACCGGCUAACUUCGUG